UCAGUGACCCUUCCUCAAAAUUGUUUAAUUUCCAGAAUUCACAGUUCUUUGAUUUUUUUGUAAAGAAAAUGCUUGCUGGUGCAAGAAAGGUGCUAUCGGCACAUGCAAUCAUAACUGGUUUGUUUGUGAAUUGCAUCAGAAUAAGUUGGCUUAGUGUGGAUCACUAAGGGAUCAGACAAAUCUUGCAGACUUUAGAAGCAAUAGGAAAAAAGAAAACUACUGCAAUGAAGAAAACAAAACACAAAAUAGAUAGAUGAGCAAAGAACACAAGCAAGCAGAUGGGCAUUUGAUAUCACAGAUACAAUCGAGUCUUGGAUGAAAGAUGGACAGGAUUGGCAGAUCAACAUUCUGAGUUUACACAAGAUAGAGAUAGGUUCAGGCAUGUGGAUGUUGCAAUAUUUAAUGGGGGGUGGGGUGAUGAAAGAAGGGGGCUGGGGGAAGGUAGCCUGGAAGGCGAUAGGUAGAUAGGGAGAGUGGAACGCUUUAGGUGAGACGGAAGAUGGACAGUUCAGAAGGGUGGUGCUGAGUUGGACGCUUGGAUGACACAUGGGUGAGAGUAGAUUAGGAAACUGGUGAAAAUCAGUUUGGAAGAGCAUGGCACUGCGCCUAAUUUCAAAUAUACUGAAAUCUGAAAUGUAUUUUGCAGGCACUUUGUAAAAUGUUUUCACAAACACACAGCCAGGGAAAAUAGGGAGGCCACGCAGUCUGAGGUAGGUGCAGCUGGGUUGCAUAUUGCAGCAACUUACACCUGACCACUACCUAUUCAUUUGGAGGAACAGCUGUUUUGAGGUGCAACUCCAGCACUGCCACCCGCAACGUACAAAAAAAAAGUUUCUGUUAAUGUCGCUCCCACGAUAUCGGGUGUCCCCGAGAAGACAAUAAACGAAGUGAAAUCAAAAAGUGACGCGGCUUCAAUGAUUGUCGUUACCCUACAUGCUGUGGAAGGAACACCACAUUUCAUCCGCUAAUAAUAAAGAACCACGGAUGCUGAAAAUCUGAAAGAAAUGGAGAAACGCAGGGGUCACUGGGCUUGAAACUGAUUUGCUGUUCACAGAUUCUGCCAGAGCUGAUUUCCAGCAUCCGCAGUUCUUUGUGGUAAACCAAACACUCAC